rnacentral:rRNA from 1 species
ACAGAGAGCUUGCUCUCGGGUGACGAGUGGCGGACGGGUGAGUAAUGUCUGGGAAACUGCCCGAUGGAGGGGGAUAACUACUGGAAACGGUAGCUAAUACCGCAUAACGUCGCAAGACCAAAGUGGGGGACCUUCGGGCCUCACACCAUCGGAUGUGCCCAGAUGGGAUUAGCUAGUAGGUGAGGUAAUGGCUCACCUAGGCGACGAUCCCUAGCUGGUCUGAGAGGAUGACCAGCCACACUGGAACUGAGACACGGUCCAGACUCCUACGGGAGGCAGCAGUGGGGAAUAUUGCACAAUGGGCGCAAGCCUGAUGCAGCCAUGCCGCGUGUAUGAAGAAGGCCUUCGGGUUGUAAAGUACUUUCAGCGAGGAGGAAGGCGUUAAGGUUAAUAACCUUAGCGAUUGACGUUACUCGCAGAAGAAGCACCGGCUAACUCCGUGCCAGCAGCCGCGGUAAACGGAGGGUGCAAGCGUUAAUCGGAAUUACUGGGCGUAAAGCGCACGCAGGCGGUCUGUCAAGUCGGAUGUGAAAUCCCCGGGCUCAACCUGGGAACUGCAUUCGAAACUGGCAGGCUAGAGUCUUGUAGAGGGGGGUAGAAUUCCAGGUGUAGCGGUGAAAUGCGUAGAGAUCUGGAGGAAUACCGGUGGCGAAGGCGGCCCCCUGGACAAAGACUGACGCUCAGGUGCGAAAGCGUGGGGAGCAAACAGGAUUAGAUACCCUGGUAGUCCACGCCGUAAACGAUGUCUAUUUGAAGGUUGUUCCCCUGAGGAGUGGCUUUCGGAGCU